rnacentral:tRNA from 1 species
CUCCCUAUAGCUCAACAGGAUAGAGCAGUCGCCUCCUAAGCGAUCGAUCAGGGUUCGAGUCCUUGUGGGGAGA